AGCCAAGCGGUCUUGGGCCGGCUUAGUACUGGCGUGGGGGACCAUCUGGGAACCGCAUGGUGAUCUAACCU
rnacentral:rRNA from 1 species